CAAGGCUGGCCUAGAACGCUGAUCUUU
rnacentral:piRNA from 1 species